rnacentral:misc_RNA from 1 species
AAACAAUAAUCUUUUUCAGGUUGCAUUUUUUAAGUAAUGGCUGAAGAAUAUCAUCAGAGCUCAGAUGAAAGUCCUCCACUCUCACAGAACAGUUUUGCAUAUUUAUGGAAUGAGAUUAAACAGUCUCCUGUUGCAGAUGCUGUUGAUGGAAAUUUCUCGGAUAAUUAUGCUAAUAUUGUAAUGUCAUCUGAAGAACCAAGUAGUAAUCCAGAAGUUGUUGAAAAUAUCAGCUCAAUAGUUGAAAAAAUUGGGACUUCAUGUGCCAGUAUUCAAAUACCACAAGCCUUAAUAUCUCCUACUGUGCCAUAUUAUACAUCAUCAUCUCUUCCAGCUACGGAAAAUUUUCCUGGAAAUUAUUCAUUUUCAGUGGGAUUUCGUUCUCAAGAAAAGAACACGAAAGGUGUUACGUGGACGUACUCUGAAAUUAAAGAUAAACUUUAUGUGUCCAAAGAUACUCCUUGCCCAAUCAAUUUUUCUACAAAUACUGUGCUACAUGGUGCAUUCAUUCGAGCAAUGGCCUUAUUCAGCUCUCCAGACAAUGCAAAUAAUAUUGUAACACGCUGUGUAACUCAUUCAAUGGAAGAGAUAUCAAAAGGGAUUUUUGAAGCUGAGCAUCUUGUGCGUUGUGAAAGUAAUAUGGCUCUUUAUCAAGUGGAUCCUGCUAAAAGGCACAGUGUAACUGUACCAUUUGAAAAUCCUCCAGCUGGCCAGUUGUUUUCAACAUAUAUUUAUAAAUUUGUUUGCUUUGGUUCUUGUGCUGGUGGACCUAACAGAAGACCUUUAAUUCUGGUUUUUACUCUAGAGAAAGGUAAUGAAAUCAUUGGACGAAGAAAAUUUGAUAUUAAGAUUUGUGCAUGUCCUGCACGCGAUAGAAGAACUGAAGAAAACCAGUUGAUGCAAGUACAAAGACCUCUUGUUCCAGCAAAACAGGAUACAUUAGGUUUAUGAUAAAGAAUGCUUUGAUUUCUUAAAACAGAUGAAGAAAUAUUUUGAAAUUGUAAAAGGGAUGAAGUAUUUUGCAGUUCCAAAGCCACUGACUGAAGCUGAGUACAAAGCUUUUAUAUUAUGUAACCAAAAAGAAAGUGACGAU